rnacentral:tRNA from 1 species
GAAAAUUUAGUUAAAUUAUAACAUUGAUUUGUCAAAUCAAAAUAACUUUUAAGUAAUUUUCU